rnacentral:rRNA from 1 species
GAUGAACGCUCGCGAUAGGCUUAACACAUGCAAGUCGAGCGGCAGCACAAGGUAGCUUGCUAUUUGGGUGGCGACCGGCGCACGGGUGAGUCACGAGGAUGCAACUUGCCCUAUACAGGAGGAUUAACCGACGAAAGACGGACUACUAAUGCGUAUGCUCACAACUUGGCAUCAAGUGGAGAGGAACGACAUUCGGUAUAGGAUAGGCAUGCGUCCCAUUAGCUUGUUGGUGAGGUAACGGCUCACCAAGGCAACGAUGGGUAGGGGAACUGAGAGGUUUAUCCCCCACACGGGUACUGAGACACGUACCAGACUCCUACGGGAGGCAGCAGUGAGGAAUAUAGGUGAGUGGGCGCGAGCCUGAACCAGCCAAGUCGCGUGAAGGAACACUGUCUUAGGGAUUGUAAACUUCUGUUAGACGAGAGCAUCAGGAGUCACGGGUGACUGCCUGCCGGUACCGUAUGAAUAAGCAUCGGCUAACUCCGUG